rnacentral:rRNA from 1 species
AGCGAACGCUGGCGGCAGGCCUAACACAUGCAAGUCGAACGAAGUCUUCGGACUUAGUGGCGGACGGGUGAGUAACACGUGGGAACGUACCUUUUGGUUCGGAACAACUCAGGGAAACUUGAGCUAAUAACGGAUGAGCCCUGAGGGGGAAAGAUUUAUCGCCGAAAGAUCGGCCCGCGUUAGAUUAGCUAGUUGGUGAGGUAAAGGCUCACCAAGGCUACGAUCUAUAGCUGGUCUGAGAGGGUGAUCAGCCACACUGGGACUGAGACACGGCCCAGACUCCUACGGGAGGCAGCAGUGGGGAAUCUUGCGCAAUGGGCGAAAGCCUGACGCAGCCAUGCCGCGUGAAUGAUGAAGGUCUUAGGAUUGUAAAAUUCUUUUACCAGGGACGAUAAUGACGGUACCUGGAGAAAAAGCCCCGGCUAACUUCGUGCCAGCCGCCGCAGUAA